rnacentral:rRNA from 1 species
UACGUAGGGGGCAAGCGUUGUCCGGAUUUAUUGGGCGUAAAGAGCGUGUAGGCGGCUAGACAGGUCCGCUGUGAAAACUCGAGGCUCAACCUCGAGACGUCGGUGGAAACCGUCUGGCUAGAGUCCGGAAGAGGAAAGUGGAAUUCCCGGUGUAGCGGUGAAAUGCGCAGAUAUCGGGAGGAACACCAAUUGCGAAGGCAGCUCGCUGGGACGAUACUGACGCUGAGGCGCGAAAGCGUGGGGAGCAAACAGG